rnacentral:lncRNA from 1 species
UCUCCACUGGAAUCAGCAACUCCCUGGAACUCGGGCCUCUGGCCCCGUCCCUCUUUUCUCCGGCAGGGACGCAGGAUGCCUUGGUGCACUCUAGAGACGGGGACCGGAGGGUGCAGCGCGCCUGGGUGGGGCGAAGGGCGCCGGUCUCCUCACGCCCUCUGACUUUAGGAUACCAGACAGUGUCUCUUCAACCCCACCCCAGGCGCAGGUUUCCAGAAGGCGGGGUGGGUGGGGCCCCCGAUUUCCAGAAGGCGAGUUACCUAGCAGGAGAAAAAUCAAGACGUUCCCUUCAGUCCUCCCUCGGUGUUAACGUCUGCUCCAGCUCGCAGCCCGCUGCUGGGCAUUUUAUUAAUGCUUUUACGAGUUAGAAGAGUUGGGAUAAUUUGCCAUCUGGAGUUUCUCUGCCUUGCUGAUCUGAGCUCAGACCUGCCAAUUUACCAGAGAUAAUUGAUAACACCCUGUAACAGCUGAGAGGAAAAUGGAAGAAACGGAGAUACUUUUAGUGAAGCAGAAUAAACCACUGAACAGUCUGUUUCAUCUUCAUAAAAACGCUGCUUUCAGUGCACUGGAUUUAUUUUACAACCCACUAAUGGAUUACCCUACAGUUUGAAAAACAUUGCGUUAGACCAGUUUGACUGUUGUCAAGAACCAAAAAAGGAAAAAUGAGGAAGCUGUGAGUACCAGUGGAAGGAACGAGCCAGGAAGAGGGACUGGAACCAUCUCAGAAGCCAUGCCCCUCAGGCUGGAACUUGCCCUGUCUCCUCGCAGAUGAGCUACCUCUUGUGUUUAAGAAUUAAAGGAAGAUGAGCUAGGAAUCAAGAAAUACGCAGAACUGAUUCCUGUCACUGGCGCCACCCUGCCACUUGCCCAGAGCUGUGGUAUAAAUUUUUUUAAUAGGCUGAAAUAAAAAUAUGAAUAGCAUUUUGGUAUUAAGCAUUAAAUUGAUAAAGGCUAUGAGAUACACCUGCUCUCAACCAUGUUAAUUUUUUAUUAUUGGUAUUAAUAAAUUAUUACUUACUAACAUAUUAACAAGAAUUGCAUUGAGAAACAAAGCAUCCACAGGCCAAAUCUUCUGAAUUUCAAAUGUUUAUAUUAAUGCGUUGUAUUCUAGAAAAGUAGAAUUGUCUUAAGUAGCUUUGUAAUAUAAAGUCAUCUAUCAGCCCAUUACACCUAUUAGAAUGUUUUAACCUUUAUUUCCCACUUUUUUGUUUCUAGACUGAGUGUACUUGGUCUGGUAUUUGUGGCAUAACUUACGGAACACAUAAGAAUGAUACAGAUACUAUUUAAUGAUGACCUAAUACAAGCUUAGAUAGCUAAGGUGAAAGCUUCUAUGGCCUUAACAUUUUCCUCUUGAAGAAUGUAUUUUCUGUAAUAAAAUACAGUGGCUACUUGAAAUCUAUAAACUUAUGUGAGGUCUGGAUAAAUCUGAGCAACUUUCUUCUUUGUGCUCCAGGAACCUACGCACUAUAUAUAUAAAUAAAGCUUAAGUAAACAUCACUGC